UCUUCAAACAACCCUACAAUCUCAACCCAUCCUCCAUCCUCCUGCUCCGAUCCUCCUGCUCCGAUCUCAACCCACCCCUCCAUCCGGGUCACCUUCAGUGAUGACCGGCUGUCUUCCACCACCGUCGUCUCUAUCAUCUCCGCCGUGUGCGGCGGCGGCUUCGUCUUCCACCAUCGCCGGGUCACCUUCAUUGAUGACCGGCCGAACUUCUUGUGUUGGCUACUGGUUGAACUGAAAAAAUGGGUUUUAACGGCCCCCUUGGUUGUCGGCUACCCCCAAACACCACACCCUUUUGUCUCUAAACCCGGUGGUGUCGUCGAUGCCGGUGAUGCCGUCGAUGUCGGUGGUGCCGGCGAUGUCGUGUGGUGCCGGUGGUGCGAUCGAUGUCGGUGGUGCCGGUGGUUGGGUGGUGGCUAGAGGUGGUGCCGGUUUUGGGGGGUGAAGGAAGAGGGUGUUUUUUAGGGGUGGUGGCUACUGGUUUUGUGAAAAACAGUGAUGUUCAUGUUCCUUUUUGCUGGGUUUUAGUUGAAUGAUGUUCAUGUUCAUGUUUUGUUUGAAUGAUGUUCAUGUUCCUUCUAGGUUUGAUUUCUGUUGAAUCUGGGUUUGAAUGAUGAACAUGUUGAAUCUGGGUUUGAAUGAUGUUUUUGGGGACCUUUUUGAUUCUGUUGCCUUAUUGAAUAUGGGUUUGAUGUUUGAA